rnacentral:rRNA from 1 species
GAUGAACGCUGGCGGCGUGCUUAACACAUGCAAGUCGAACGAUGAUCCCAGCUUGCUGGGGGAUUAGUGGCGAACGGGUGAGUAACACGUGAGUAACCUGCCCUUGACUCUGGGAUAAGCCUGGGAAACUGGGUCUAAUACCGGAUACGACCAUCUGGCGCAUGUCAUGGUGGUGGAAAGCUUUUGUGGUUUUGGAUGGACUCGCGGCCUAUCAGCUUGUUGGUGGGGUAAUGGCCUACCAAGGCGACGACGGGUAGCCGGCCUGAGAGGGUGACCGGCCACACUGGGACUGAGACACGGCCCAGACUCCUACGGGAGGCAGCAGUGGGGAAUAUUGCACAAUGGGCGCAAGCCUGAUGCAGCGACGCCGCGUGAGGGAUGACGGCCUUCGGGUUGUAAACCUCUUUCAGUAGGGAAGAAGCGAAAGUGACGGUACCUGCAGAAGAAGCGCCGGCUAACUACGUGCCAGCAGCCGCGGUAAUACGUAGGGCGCAAGCGUUAUCCGGAAUUAUUGGGCGUAAAGAGCUCGUAGGCGGUUUGUCGCGUCUGCUGUGAAAGACCGGGGCUCAACUCCGGUUCUGCAGUGGGUACGGGCAGACUAGAGUGCAGUAGGGGAGACUGGAAUUCCUGGUGUAGCGGUGAAAUGCGCAGAUAUCAGGAGGAACACCGAUGGCGAAGGCAGGUCUCUGGGCUGUAACUGACGCUGAGGAGCGAAAGCAUGGGGAGCGAACAGGAUUAGAUACCCUGGUAGUCCAUGCCGUAAACGUUGGGCACUAGGUGUGGGGGACAUUCCACGUUUUCCGCGCCGUAGCUAACGCAUUAAGUGCCCCGCCUGGGGAGUACGGCCGCAAGGCUAAAACUCAAAGGAAUUGACGGGGGCCCGCACAAGCGGCGGAGCAUGCGGAUUAAUUCGAUGCAACGCGAAGAACCUUACCAAGGCUUGACAUGAACCGGAAAGACCUGGAAACAGGUGCCCC